rnacentral:misc_RNA from 1 species
UUGAGUGAAGGGCUUCUUUUUAGAACCCAACCUCCCAACCCUUGUCUUCUUUACCAUUUUGCUUCGGCGGACCCGUCACUCUGACCGCCGAAGGGUUAUGUUUCUAACUAACCCUUGGGCCCGUGUCCGCCGGAGAUACCUGAAUCCUUGAUAUGAAUAGGUUGUCUGAGUAUAAAGAAAAUAAGUUA